rnacentral:rRNA from 1 species
ACUGAACGCUGGCGGCAUGCCUUACACAUGCAAGUCGAACGGUAACGCGGGGCAACCUGGCGACGAGUGGCGAACGGGUGAGUAAUGCAUCGGAACGUGCCCGGUAGUGGGGGAUAACUGCUCGAAAGAGCAGCUAAUACCGCAUACGACCUGAGGGUGAAAGGGGGGGAUCGCAAGACCUCUCGCUAUCGGAGCGGCCGAUGCCGGAUUAGCUAGUUGGUGGGGUAAGAGCCCACCAAGGCAACGAUCCGUAGCUGGUCUGAGAGGACGACCAGCCACACUGGGACUGGGACACGGCCCAGACUCCUACGGGAGGCAGCAGUGGGGAAUUUUGGACAAUGGACGCAAGUCUGAUCCAGCCAUGCCGCGUGCGGGAAGAAGGCCUUCGGGUUGUAAACCGCUUUUAUCAGGGAAGAAAUCUUCUGAGUUAAUACCUCGGGAGGAUGACGGUACCUGAAGAAUAAGCACCGGCUAACUACGUGCCAGCCGCCGCUGUAAGAC